ACAGGAGCGCCCGAUGAAGCACCGGCCGAAUACCUCUGCCGAUGGGCGUGCGGGUGGCGCAUGGCCGCCGUAGUUCGUGAGGUGACUUGUCUGGUUGGUUCCGACAACGAACGCAACCGCCGUGCCCCGCUACGACCCGAGGCCCACGACCGCGUUUCGGCGCGGUGGGGUCGGUUCGAUCCGGAGCAGACUAACCCGCGAAUGGGUCUUCAGACCCAAAGUGGGAGUAAGCCACGGCGAUGGCAUGUCCGUAAUGCCCCCAGAUGCUCUGGAUAGCACGCGCCAUACAAUGCCUGCUCGAGCGCGAAGCUGCCCCGAGAGGGGAUCGGCGAAUCGCGGGAAAAGCGG
rnacentral:rRNA from 1 species